CGAUCGUAUCGCCAUUUUGAUUUUGCAAUAUUUAUUGAAGGUAAAAUAAAAUUUAGUAACCGGUGUUAAACUAAUUCAACAAAUUAGAUUUUUGUGAAGAGUGCGGCCAGAAAGCAUUUACGGUGGAGGAUUUCCACUAAUGCACCGAGUGGGGAACCAAAUCGCAUGGUAUGGUCCGGAUCUUGUGGCUGAUUUUGGAGAAGAGUUGGAGAUGGGUUCCCCGUCGCAUACGGGUCGAGUCGUGAAUUUCGUUCUGCUGAGCUGGUCGAGCUAAAUCGAUCAACUGGAGACGUUGGGUGCCGGUAACGAACGGUGCUAACGGUGCUGGAACUGUCUUAUCUGUGGCGGAUGCAGAUGGAAUUCUUGUCUGAAGAAACCCGAAUGACCCCUAUUGAAUAUGUGACAUAACACUGAAUCAACAAUUGCUUUUAAGGAUGCGUUAUUGUGUGAAAAUAAAAAAGAAAUCAGCGCAAAAGCAAUGAUUUGAGAAGCAAAGUAACCCCUUCGUUGACAACUUCCGGAACGACGUUGAAUUAAAAGAUGUGUUCGGAACAGGAGUUUGCUGAAUGCAAAGGGCCAAUCAUAGAAAUCGGACGUGAACGUGAAGUGCAACCGACUGAUUACCGGAUCGGGAAGCCUGGUUAACUCCGUUUUUUGGCGACGAAUGAGAAAGGUUGUGGAACCACAUGAGGGGAAACAAAAGUACAUACGUUGUCUUGUAACGCGAAUUAACUGGAUAAUGCUAUGUGGCUUUAUGUUUUAUUCUCACGCGAGUGAUCUACGUAAGAUCCGAUUGUUCAAAUCCAGGACCGUGUGAUUUGGAGUUCCUUUCGACUCCCGUCAGUCAGAAAGAAUUGGAUUUAGGAGAAAGUGUCGAAUAUAUCAACGAACUGUGCGAAACCGUUUUGCAGUAGCUGAGCAUGAAAAACACAUCUUGUCCGCACAGUUUCGGAACAACUGCUAACCGACGAUUGAUCCUGCCAAGCGAACGGUGUUUGCAUUAUUUCGGCCUGCUGUAAUAUAUUCCGAUCCAUCCCGAAACUCGGUCUAUUUUCCUGGCGGCCUUGCGGAACGGGAUUUUUGAAAGUUUUUGGCUACCUGACUUCCGGAAGAUAAAUUCACUGCUUAGGCUUCAGUAUCUCAAAAAUUUAUUUAAACCGCAACCGCACCGUAAAAUGUUAGCAUUGGUUGCUAACUUCCUAAUUCAUAGAUAGCCACCAAGGCUGUUAACUACAUUCACCGGGUGACAUUGGCUAUGUACGUUGCAUGUUUGCUGAUGCGAGUUAUCUGCAUUUAGACUCGGUUCGAUCGAGCUUUCGCAAUUGGUGGCCUUCGUUUUCAUCAGGCCGGUUCGUAUCAAUUUGACUUCAGAGCUCCAAGUCGGAUUAGAAGGACAUCACGGAACGGUUGGUCACAAGAUCCAGCAAGAAUACAGCGCUCUGGAAUAACUGAAGGUGAUCGCAUGCCGCCGCCCAACGCCGACAGAACGCUGCAUCUAUCGGUGUGUAUUAGGCGCGGUUUUGAAGUGCCUUCGAAUGCUGUCCGUGCCGCUCUGUAUAACAUCACUCCAGCGAAAGCAAUCCAGCAGCGAUCCUUGCAGGGAAAUUGCCCAAUAUCAACUCGCCCUAUCUGCGGAAAGUUCUGCCGUAGACCAUGGAUCACAAGGAUGAUCCAGCACCUGCCGACGAUGACGAAAACUUGUGGCUUGUGGGACACGGCCUAUUUGGAACUGACGAAGAUAAAUCGAUCGACCGGUUCAAGGUGUAUCGCCAUUGCAAGAGACCCGGCCCCUGAAAGUACAUCAGGACAAACGCCUUCAUAACAGAUCUGCAUCAUGGCAAUGUGGGCAAAACAUUGGUAUUUACAUUUCGACAAAAAUAAUAUAAUGAAUAUACAAAUAAA